AUAAUUCAUCCCUUUUGACCCCUGUGUUUAGGACGACUCAGGGUUAAACUAUCAACCCUGAUGAAAUCAUCCGAAUCGUGCUCAACUCAAUUAGUCCUGUGACUCCUCACUAGGACUACCCUGGUCAAGGUUUUGCUAAAUUGAAACAUGACUGUACACAGCUCCUAAAUUAGAGUGGUCAAUCCCAUCUUGACACGCACCGACAAGUCAAGUACUUGACUACACCCAGCAGCCUUCCGUCACUGAAUUAGAAAUUCAGGUAGUCCAGUUCCUAAGUGCAGUGAGUUGCUUGCAAGUCACCGUGGCGGUCUCAGGUCGGAGGGACAUUUAUACCCAUAUCUCAUCGGAGCAAAUCUUGACAGCAGAAAUAGCUCCGGAGUCGGUCACGUUCAGUGCAGAUGUACCAUUACAUCUCACCUGUAUGCCAUACCAGUGUCUCCACACUCCUUGGUUAUGAGGAC
rnacentral:lncRNA from 1 species